AACGUAGGAGACAAACGUUAUCCGGAGUUACUGGGCGUAAAGGGCGUGUAGGUGGUUUCGUAAGUCUGGCGUGAAAUUUUUCGGCUUAACCGGGAAAGGUCGUCGGAUACUGCGGAGCUAGAGGACGGUAGAGGCGUGUGGAAUUCCGGGUGUAGUGGUGAAAUGCGUAGAGAUCCGGAGGAACACCAGUGGCGAAGACGACACGCUGGGCCGUACCUGACACUGAUGCGCGACAGCAUGGGGAGCAAACAGG
rnacentral:rRNA from 1 species